CAACAUGUGACCAGUCUUUAGGCAUUGUUUCAAGGUUUUACUUUGAAAAAUGAGGGAGAAACAGCACUUUCAAUGAGUGGACAGUGGAAAUUUCCAGACAUGAAGCCAGCGUGUGACCGGGAGCGUGCCUUUCUUGUUUCUCCUUUUCUAUUGACGAAGCUUUUGUCCUGUUGAAAUAUUAUCGAUUAUUUAUGACAAAAACAACUUAAGAAUUGAUUAUAAACAUUGUUUGACAUGUUUCUACGAACCUUUGUGGUACUUUUUUGAUUUUUCGUCUGUCUUUUGUGAUCGCGCUUUGUUCCAAUGGAAUAUUGAACAAAACGCACCAACAAAGUUUUUGGAAAUAAAGAGGGACAUUAUUGAACAAAAUGAACAUUUAUUGUGUAACAUGGAGUCUUCGGAGUGCAACCAUAUGAAGAUCAUCAAAUAAACCACAAACAGUAUUUGCCAAUAUCAUAACUGGAGCUGGACAUCUUUGGAGCUGAAGAUUGAGGCCAGCUUUUGUAUACUAACGUAAUGAGUAUUUCUGUUUUUGAAUUUGGCACUCUGCAAUUUCACUGGAUGUUGGCCAGGUGGGACGGUAGCGUCCCACACCCCUAGAGAGGUUAGUGAAGGAAACUCCAAUUCCCUUUGGAGUUUAACUAAGUCAUAGGCCCGCCCCAUGAGCACAGACACUGAUCUGGCAUCAUGGGACAGCUCUUUCCUACUGUUCUGGAUAUAACCCCCACCGUGGGAAUUUCCCAGUAGACCAAUCUUACCUCGAUUACCGAGAAGGUUAAGGUUUGAGUAGAGACCAUGCAUUCCUCGUUGCUGAAUUCUUAACCAUACCACGUGGUUAAACUCUGAAACUAUCGAUACCCGACAGAAUAAGAGCAAAUCUUUGAUACUAAUUACUAGUCUGCAGCUAGGAAUUCUGUACCAUUGAACGCGAAGACUGACAACCGCCGAAACAUCUAUUCUAUAAGGACAUUUCUGAAAGUUACUCUGAAGUAGCUAUUCUAACCAAAGACUCCAGGGACGCAGAGAGAAUCUCGGAUGAACUCUCCAACAGAAAAGGACGAUUCCAACAGAGAUCACGACGACACACUGAGCGUAAAUAUAUAUAAUGAUUGCAAUUAUUCCCGAAUGAGUGAGCGUUCAUGUGCAAAGGGUUAGCAUUUCAAUUAUUAUAAUUAUUAACUGUGUAGUGUCUUUUGUCUUUCGUGCCCUUCUCAGUCCUUUUGUCUACCAAGCCACGAUACCGGGGCACAUCCCCUAUCAUUUACUUGUAACCAUAUCUACUUUGUUGUUUGUU
rnacentral:lncRNA from 1 species